rnacentral:rRNA from 1 species
GAUGAACGCUAGCGGCAGGCCUAAUACAUGCAAGUCGAGGGGUAGUGGAAGCUUGCUUCCAUGAGACCGGCGCACGGGUGCGUAACGCGUAUGCAACCUACCUCUAUCUGGGGAUAGCCCGGAGAAAUCCGGAUUAACACCGCAUAAAAUCACAGUACGGCAUCGUACAAUGAUCAAAUAUUUAUAGGAUAGGGAUGGGCAUGCGUGUCAUUAGUUAGUUGGCGGGGUAACGGCCCACCAAGACCACGAUGACUAGGGGAUCUGAGAGGAUGGCCCCCCCACACUGGUACUGAGACACGGACCAGACUCCUACGGGAGGCAGCAGUAAGGAAUAUUGGUCAAUGGAGGCAACUCUGAACCAGCCAUGCCGCGUGCAGGAAGACGGCCCUCUGGGUUGUAAACUGCUUUUGCCAGGGGAUAAAAUUUCCAUGCGUGGAAAACUGAAGGUACCUGGUGAAUAAGCCACGGCUAACUACGUGCCAGCAGCCGCGGUAAU